UAACUUAAGAGUUUGAUUAUGGCUCAGAACGAACGCUGGCGGCAUGCCUCAUACAUGCAAGUCGAACGAGGUCUUCGGACUUAGUGGCGCACGGGUGAGUAACAUGUGGGAAUCUACCUGAAGGUUCGGAAUAACUGCGGGAAACUGUAGCUAAUACCGGAUGUGUCUGCAAAGAGAAAGAUUUAUCGCCUUCAGAUGAGCCCGCACUAGAUUAGCUAGUUGGUGAGGUAAUUGCUCCACCAAGGCUACGAUCUAUAGCUGAUUUGAGAGGAUGAUCAGCCACACUGGGACUGAGACACGGCCCAGACUCCUACGGGAGGCAGCAGUAGGGAAUAUUGGACAAUGGGGGAAACCCUGAUCCAGCAAUGCCGCGUGAGUGAAGAAGGCCUUCGGGUUGUAAAGCUCUUUCAUCAAUGAUGAUAAUGACAUUAGUUGAAGAAGAAGCCCCGGCUAACUUCGUGCCAGCAGCCGCGGUAAUACGAAGGGGGCUAGCGUUGUUCGGAAUCACUGGGCGUAAAGCGUAUGUAGGCGGAUCAAAAAGUUAGAUGUGAAAUCCCUGGGCUCAACCCAGGAACUGCAUUUAAAACUAGUGAUCUAGAAUUUGGUAGGGGUUAGUAGAAUUUCCAGUGUAGAGGUGAAAUUCGUAGAUAUUGGAAAGAAUACCAGUGGCGAAGGCGACUAACUGGGCCAUUUUUGACGCUAAGAUACGAAAGCGUGGGUAGCAAACAGGAUUAGAUACCCUGGUAGUCCACGCAGUAAACGAUGAGUGCUAGUCGCUGGGACAAUAGUUUCAGUGUCGAAGCUAACGCAUUAAGCACUCCGCCUGGGAAGUACGGUCGCAAGAUUAAAACUCAAAUAAAUUGACGGGGGCCCGCACAAGCGGUGGAGCAUGUGGUUUAAUUCGAAGCAACGCGAAGAACCUUACCAGACCUUGACAUGGUGUGUCUGAAUUACAGAAUCGUAAUUCUUCAGUUCGGCUGGCACACACACAGGUGCUGCAUGGCUGUCGUCAGCUCGUGUCGUGAGAUGUUGGGUUAAGUCCCGCAACGAGCGCAACCCUCAUUUUUAGUUGCCAUCAGGUUAAGCUGGGCACUCUAAAAAAACUGCCGGUGAUAAGCUGGAGGAAGGCGGGGAUGACGUCAAGUCCUCAUGGCCCUUACGGUCUGGGCUACACACGUGCUACAAUGGUGGUGACAGUGGGCAGCAAUACUGCAAAGUAAAGCUAAUCCCAAAAAACCAUCUCAGUUCGGAUUGGACUCUGCAACUCGAGUCCAUGAAGUUGGAAUCGCUAGUAAUCGUAGAUCAGCGUGCUACGGUGAAUACGUUCUCGGGCCUUGUACACACCGCCCGUCACGCCAUGGGAGUUGGUUUUACCUUAAGCCGGUGCGCUAACCGUAAGGAGGCAGCCGUCCACGGUAGGGUCAGCGACUGGGGCGAAGUCGUAACAAGGUAACCGUAGGGGAACCUGCGGUUGGAUCACCUCCUUU
rnacentral:rRNA from 1 species